CCUACGGGUGGCUGCAGUGGGGAAUUGUUCACAAUGGGCGCAAGCCUGAUGACGCAACGCCGCGUGGGGGAUGAAGGUCUUCGGAUUGUAAACCCCUGUCGAACGGGACGAAAGACCCGGGAGCUAAUCAUCCUGGGAGUGACGGUACCGUUAAAGGAAGCCACGGCUAACUCUGUGCCAGCAGCCGCGGUAAUACAGAGGUGGCAAGCGUUGUUCGGAAUUACUGGGCGUAAAGGGCGCGUAGGCGGCCAUCUAAGUCAGACGUGAAAUCCCCC
rnacentral:rRNA from 1 species